CCUACGGGCGGCUGCAGUCGAGAAUCAUUCACAAUGGGGGAAACCCUGAUGGUGCGACGCCGCGUGGGGGAAUGAAGGUCUUCGGAUUGUAAACCCCUGUCAUGUGGGAGCAAAUUAAAAAGAUAGUACCACAAGAGGAAGAGACGGCUAACUCUGUGCCAGCAGCCGCGGUAAUACAGAGGUCUCAAGCGUUGUUCGGAAUCACUGGGCGUAAGGCGUGCGUAGGCUGUUUGGUAAGUCGUGUGUGAAAGGCGCGGGCUCAACCCGCGGACGGCACAUGAUACUGCGAGACUAGAGUAAUGGAGGGGGAACCGGAAUUCUCGGUGUAGCAGUGAAAUGCGUAGAUAUCGAGAGGAACACUCGUGGCGAAGGCGGGUUCCUGGACAUUAACUGACGCUGAGGCACGAAGGCCAGGGGAGCGAAAGGGAUUAGAUACCCCUGUAGUC
rnacentral:rRNA from 1 species